GAUAAACGCUGGCGGCGUGCUUAACACAUGCAAGUCGAACGAAGUUUUUCUUUCGGGAGGAACUAGUGGUGGACGGGUGAGUAACGCGUGGGUAACCUGCCCUGUACAGGGGGACAACAGCUGGAAACGGCUGCUAAUACCGCAUAAGCCCUUAGCACUGCAUGGUGCAUAGGGAAAAGGAGCAAUCCGGUACAGGAUGGACCCGCGUCUGAUUAGCCAGUUGGCAGGGUAACGGCCUACCAAAGCGACGAUCAGUAGCCGAUCUGAGAGGAUGUACGGCCACAUUGGGACUGAGACACGGCCCAGACUCCUACGGGAGGCAGCAGUGGGGAAUAUUGCACAAUGGAGGAAACUCUGAUGCAGCGACGCCGCGUGAGUGAAGAAGUAUUUCGGUAUGUAAAGCUCUAUCAGCAGGAAAGAAAAUGACGGUACCUGACUAAGAAGCACCGGCUAAAUACGUG
rnacentral:rRNA from 1 species